CUCGAUCAUUGGAUUAUAUCUAAUGACUAAAAUUAAUAUAUUUUAUAAUAAUUUAAAAAUAAAAUAAAAUAUAAAAAUUAAUAUAUUUUAUAAUAAUUUGAAAAUAAAAUAAAAUAAAAGUUAUACGGCUGUGAUUUAUACCCGUAAAAGUUGAAUAAAUGAUUUUAUUAAUAUGUGAUUGAAAUUAUAUUAAUAGGGAGUGAAAUUUUGAAAAAGAAAAAAAUUUAAAACUCGCUCUUUUAUAAAUAGUAUUGAUAUAUUUUUCAAAAAAUAAAAAAUAAAAAAGAUUAAAUUAAAAAUAGGGUUAAUUUCAUAUAGGCUCCUGCAAUUAUAGUGAAGGAUGAAUAUAUCCCUAUAAAGUUCAACUUUUAUAUAUUAUCGUUACAAAAGUUCUAAUGCUUUCACAUAUAUCCCUUUGGUUUAUUACCGUUAGAGAACCGUUAGAAAAACUGUUUAUAUUUUCAAUUUUGCCAUCACAAAUAUGUACCUCCAAAAAUCAUAACAGUACAAUAUAAGAGAGGCAAAAUUGUCAAAAACUAACUAAGGUUGAGUAUUUAACAUAUGGUUAAUUAAAAUUUUCUAUCAGAUUCUAAGGGUAUAGACAUAUUUGAAAACAUCAGGAUUUUUGCAGAAACAAUAUAUGAAAGUUAAAUUUUAUAUGGAUAUAUUUGCUAGUUACUAAGUUUGCAGAGGCCAGUAUGAAAUAAACCCUUUUAUAAAAAUAUAUAUUUUGAAUAUUGGUUUACGUUUAGUUGAAGAAUAAAAUAUGAAUACUUAUAUAUAUUUUUAAAUUAUUAAUAAAUAAAUUAUCUGAGGAGCGCUUCUUUCCAAGUGGGUGCCGCGUCGGCUGCCGCCCAAUUGGUGAGGAGGCUCCGACAAGUUGUUGUGUUUUUCGCCAGUUGGCUCAGAAGAGUUGAUGGGAUUAAUUAAACACCCCGUGACGCAAACUAAUUAGUAUUUGCUGCUGAGGUUGACUAAAUCAUUUUAAACGAACUAAGUCUCCAUCGAUCAUUGCCUUCUUACCAAAGCGAGAGCAACCUUAAUUGGCAAGAAAUGCCAGAAGGUUCUUUUCAGAUUUGUACGAAAUAUUCUGCAGAUAAUUUGAAAAUGAUCAUCAUUAUUUAAAGUCCGGCUAUUAUGUAAUUUUUAUUAUAUAUGAUAGGACUAUUAUACUUUCAUAAAUAUAGAUUUUUUUUUUUGUACUCAUAAAUUUUUGAUCACUAGCCAAAUGAUGUCAAAAAAUUAUAAAUUUUAGUUUCCAAAUGCUUUUAAUAGUGUAGAUUAAAUCUGAUGGAGCCGAUCGUCGAUUUGGAAGCCACAUCAUUGAAAACAACUUGAUAGCACGGAGGCUUCCGUGCUACCGAUAGUAUACCAGCCUAGCUGAGCUAAAAAUGGUAGCACGGAGGCUCCAUUAGACUUAAUCUACACUAUUGAAAAUAUAUGAAAACUAAAUUUCAUAAUUUUUCGGUAUUAUUUAUCUAUCAAACGAAUUAUCUAAAAAUGAAUGACUGAAAUUAAAAAUCUUAUAAAAAAUGAUGAUAAAAUACUUGAAUUUAAGAUCAGAGAUACUGAUCUUACUCUAAAUAGUGAAAAAAAAAUUUCUAUAAAAAAAUCAUCAGAUUUGAAUUGUUUUACAUCAUUAAAUUUACAAACGCGUCACAUCUAUCAUUAAAAUUGUCAAUUUUGAGACCGUUUGAUCACUAGCCAAAUGAUGUUGAAAAAUUAUGAAAUUUAGUUUUCAAAUAAUUUUAAUAGUGUAAAUCAAGUCUAACGGAGUCGAUAGUCGAUUUGAAAGCUGUAUCAUUAAAAACAACUUGGUAGCACGGAGACCUCCGUGCUACCGAUAGUAUAUCAGCCUAGCUCUCUCUCUCUCUCUCUCUCUCUCUCUCUCUCUCUCUCUCUCUAUAUAUAUAUAUAUAUAUAAUCCGGCUACUAUACAAUGAAUAGUACUAAACAUUUGGCCUUAUCAAAUUUUCUACCGUUAAAUCUACUCUUUUGAUUUCCACCUAUUAGAUCAUAUACUAUUCAACGAACCAUCUACUCAACUCUAUAGGACCACUAUCAUCUUAACCACAUAUCCUUUAAUCAAAGAGCCGGACACGUAGUAGCACCAAUGACUUGAUGCUAUCAAUAGUAUAGUAUCCUAGUUCUAUAUAUAUAUACAUAGUUUGACUGGAGUGUUUUUAAUAGUAUUAAAUAUUUGAUGCUAUCAAUUUUUUAUAACUAGAUCUACGUUGUUUUAUCAUUUUUUUUUGUUUGGAUCAUAUAUUUUUAUUCUAUCACCCACCCACUAAAUUCAAGUAGAGCUUGGAAAUUUUUUAAUAAUUUACUCAAUUUAUCUUCCACUUUUAUUUUUUUUUGAUAGAAAGUCAAUGGAUUUAAAACUAUAUAUUAUUAUCUUAUAUUUUUAUUUAUUUUACGGAAACCUUUUAGACUAACAUACAAUAGGAUGAAAAAAAAAAUAAAGUAGUUAACUUACUAUUAUUUUUUCAAUUAUUUCAUCUUCCGUAAUUAAUUUUCGCACCACCCAAGGCAAAGUCAGUUCCAACAUUUUGAGAAAAUUGGACUCGUAGGCAAAUUUAACUUACAAUAAAAACUAAAUAACAAAGUAAAUAUUUAAAGCCGAAAGCUACUUAAUUAAACUCCUUCACUUUCGGUAAAACAAAUAUACCUUACGUAUGAUAAAAUAGUAUAACUAAAAAUUCUAUUUAUUUUUUGUAAACACCAUACAUCAUGCAAAUUAUUCAAGUUCAAUUUGGUUAUGAUUUUUGCGGUCUAAGCAAAAGCCAAGAAAAAUAUAUUUUCAUAUGAUUUCGACCCUACUCCAUUUGGCCGAAUAGUAAUAGGCAAUUCCAAUACCAAAUAAUCUAGCGCAAGGGGAAAUGGCAUUAUAAUAGGUAUUGGUGAUUCCCAAUUCAAAGUCUAGUUAUUUUACAUUAUCAACUAAAUUUAUUUUUUUAAAAAAAUAAAUAAAGCGGAUAGCAUGCUAGUUACCUUCUCUUAAAAAAAAAAAAAAAACAAAAACAAUAAACAUUAAACGGAGUUAUCUAAUUAAGAGAAGUGCAAAAUAUAUUGAUGGUAACACAUGAUUAUUGUGCUAGCAUUUUUUUGAAUGAUUUUAGCUUUAUUUACUAGCUAUAUAUUUCAGUAAUGCAUGACCGUUAAAAAAGCAUAUAUACGUAGAAAAUGUUUUCUUGCAUAAAUUAUCUUCUAUUUCUAAAAUACCAAAGCUCUUUCUAAACAUUCCUUACUGAUUUGGCUUAACUAAUUUUGACUUUUUGCCUCUAGCUAAAAUGCCUUUAAAUAUCUAAAAAAUUAAGUAAAUGUGAUUACUCUUAGAAUAUAUACACUAAAGUGGACCUAACCAUUUAAUGCAAUUGUUUAACAUUCCAACUCUAUACGGGUCGGCCGAGGAAACAGUAGACCAUUUGUUCACCAGGUGUGUUUUUAGCAAGUUCAUCUUAGUGUCGGGUGUUGAUGGAGUUCAGACCCUAGACAUGGAGGAUGACGUUACCCGGGCUUGGGACAGGUGGAGGAUUAGGAAGAACCGAGGGAAGAAAAGGGCUUGCCUUACUAAUUUAGCCGGUUGCUGGUGGUGCAUUUGGAAGGCCAGAAACGACAUGAUCUUUAGGGAUAUACAACCAAACCCUGAGAGGGUUGUUAUCACUCUCCAGCAGUUACUGAAGGAGUGGGAUUCGGCUCUAUCUACUUGAAUUUUAAUUUCUUUUUCUAUUUUUAUCUUUAUUUCUAUUUUAGUUUUUAUUUUUAUUUGUAUUUUGUUCCGGGGCCCUAGUUGCCCCACCCUUGUAGCCUAGUUCAUUUUUCCAAUGAAUGAAGCGGGUAGCGUGCUACCUUUUUCUCAAAAAAAAAAAACAUUCCAACUCUAUACCAUUCUCAUAUCUUUAGAUAUAUAUGAAAGGAAAAAAGAAGACAUGUUAUGAGAGCAAUUCAAAGAAGGAACCACCUAAAAUUUGGUAAGGUUUGAAAACAAGAUGGGAUUCAACUCAGAAGAAGAAACCUUCACCUGCUGCAACUAAUCAAUUUAGUAUCUUCUUGAGGAAACUUGUAUAAAUGGAUCAUAAUCUAUGGAAAACUUGGAACUCUAUUCAAUUCGAUCUAUGGGUUCAUUUAUGACUCCAUAGCUUUUCCUAUUAAUUUCCAAGUCAUGGAUAAGAAGUUUCCACCUUCGUAGUUAAUAAAUAUCCAUUCAAUAUUCAUAUUCCUUUUCUAGAAGAUAGAUACAUAACUACAGAUAUGUGCAUGGUCUUCGUUGUAGAUAUUUAGUCACGGGGUAAAAUUAAAUUCGUGUCCAAGUGUUGAUACUUAGUGAUAAACAGCUAACCCGUGAAAGAUUUUGAUAGUGAUAAGCUUUUUGACUUUUGAUUUUGUAGAAAUUUGCUGUAUAGUUGACUUUGAGGGGAUGCUUCGAUCGUUCUUAUGAGGAGAACUGGAUUUUGAUCCGUGUGAAAAGAAUAAAAAAUGCACUGAUACUUCUUGUUGGGAUUAGUUGAACCUUCGAUGAGAAAAUUAAGUUCAAGAAUGUUACUAUCUUAAUAAAAUUCAAGCUUUUGAUUUUAAUUCAAGUUCACAAGUCUAGCUUCAAUUUUUAAAGAGUCCUCGAAUUGCACUCCGAUUUGUCAAUGGUGUUUUUUUUUUUUUUUUCAGGGAAAAGCCUGUAGGCACAUCCUUCACCCGUUUAGCAGAGAUUGAUAGAGCAGUCGAUCAAUAGUACAAGAGGAAUCUGCCCCUAUUUAGAUGCAUAAAUAUAUUAUUCAGUAUUUUUUUUUUUAUUUACUCAAAUAGUUUGUAGCAUUCGCAUGUUCAAAUUUCAGGAUAGGCAUAAUAUAUUUUGCGGAAAAAACUUCAAUGAAGAGUUCCUUAAUGACGUGUCACUUUUAUCUCUAUCCAAAAGUUUCUUUCCUCUAGGCUUUAUUUUUUUUUUUUUAGUUUUAAUAUUAAAAAACACUCAAUGAACUAUUAGGAGUUGGCAAAACCGGCAUGUUAUAGCGGAUCGGUGGUUUCCCAACGAACCCUCCUGGGAGAGCUUCAUACAGAAGUUCUAUCCAUAUUUCACCUUCUAUUUAUUUUCUUGAAAUAAAAUAAAUCAUCUACUAAGCUAAAUACACUAUUAUACCAAAUCGCGGCGAUUAAGAUGUUUCAAGGAAUUAAAAUUAAAUAAACUCCCAGCUUACGGUCAUCCAAAAAAAUUCUCAACCAUGCAGAUUAUUACUAGAUAACUUAUUUCGAUACCAAUAUGAAUCUAUGAGAAUCACUCAACUAAGCCCCCCACAUAAAGCGAUCUGAUAUUGAUCACAAGAAUAGGCCCAGUUUAAAAUUGCAUUUAAAAAAAAAAAACAUUCAAUUUUAUACUUUGAAGGCUCAAAAAAAAAAAAAAAGAAAAAGAAAAAGAAAAAGAAAAAGAAAAAGUGGUGGGCAUCUCACCCCACAAUAGGUCCAUGGGCUAAGCCACAAAUGGGUCUAAGAAUGGGCUAAUAAACUCUCGAGUAAGCCCAAAAGAGGCCCAUAAAAAAGGCCCGGCCCAAUCUCCUCCAGCCACCACACGCGGCAACCGAAGACGCCGCUCAUCGUACACGUGGCGCACCGCACGUGUCACACUCGCGUAGUAAACAGCACAUUGCUCGCAUAAUAUAUAAAAAAUAAAAUAUUCUCGGGUGCUUAUAUCAUCAAGCAUUGUGAGAUCAACUGGACGUAAGCUGAACCAAAAACGUUUCUUUGCGACCAUGUCUUCGCUUAUACCGUGGGUGGGGGGCCGUGGUGUGUUCGACCCGUUCACAACUGAUCUUUGGGACCCGUUUGGGGCCACCACCAACUUGUUAUGGGACGUCGGCCGCAGCGGCGGCGGCGUCGGCGACGAUCCCGCCGUCCUCGCCUGCGCCAACGUCGACUGGCGCGAGACCGACCGGGCCCACAUCUUCGUCGCUGAGCUACCCGGUUUGCGGCCCUGCUCUCUUUCGCUAGCAGAAAGAUAUAAAUUCAUUAUAUUUGGUCACUAGUCACUCAUUAAGUUAUUUUUGAAUAAAGUUGAAAGUUUAUUACUGUUGAUAUUUGUAACUAAGAUAUAAAAGAAUAAGAAUUGAAAUUUUACAAAGAGAUCACACACACACACGUGAGCAUUACGUUAAAUUGGAAAUUGGCGGUGGAACAGGGGUGAGGAAGGAGGACGUGAAAGUGGAGGUGGAGGACGGGAACGUGCUGAAGAUCAGCGGGGAGCGCGUCGAGAAGGAGGAGCAGAAGGGCGAUACGUGGCACCGCAUGGAGCGGCGGAGGGGCGCCUUCCUCCGGCGGUUCAGGCUCCCCGACGACGCAAAUCUCGACGAUGUCAACUGCACCCUCAAGGAUGGCGUGCUCACCGCCGUCGUCCCCAAGAAGGACACCGCCCAGGCCCGCAAUGUCCGGGCCAUCAAAAUUUCCGAAGGCGGGAUAAUGCAGCAGCAGCAACAGCAGGAGCAGCAGCAGCAGCAGCAGCAGUAGGAGUGGGAUUAAUGUGAUGCAGAAACAUAUGUACAUGUGUGCGCUAUAUAUAUACAUAUAUAUAGUAGUUGUAUAUGGAUCUGUAAUAGAAUUUUGUUAACUUCAGAGAGUGCCUGGUUCAGGAGAUGGAGGAGUUUGCAUGUGUAUAUGUUAGAUUAUGGGGUAUUGUAUGCAUGAAGGGAGAGAAUGGUAUGAGCGUCCUGUUUUGUAAGUUGUUAUCUUUUGUCUUAAUAAAGAACUAGCAAAAUAAUGUUAAAAAAUGCGUAGGAAAAUUGGGUACAAAUAGUUAAUUGAUGUUUCGGUACAAAUGAACAACUCGAUGAGUAACACACCGAAGCUAAUGUAAACUUAAAUUAAAGAGGGUAAUACCCCUACCCCUGUUUAAUCGGAAAAAACGUAAAAAAAAAAAGGGUAAAAAAAAGGUAAACUUAAAUUGCAGAAAUUAAGAGUCGGAUGAAAUUUGUAUUUAACAAAUUUUAGUUUAGGAACCAUGAUACAACCGUUUGUCUUUAAAUAAAAAAUAUUAAUUUUUAAUAUUUUCAACAUUAUUACUAUAAUUUUAACUAUCCGACCCGUUGUUAAGUUACAUUUGGUUGCUGGAGCAUAACUAGACAAAGAGCAAGUCGAAGAGAAGCGUUCUCCAAUUAUUUAGAAUCUGCAUUUGGAUUUAAAGCUGCUUCUUUGCAUGACACAAUUAUUCAUUUACAAAAGCCGGGCUAAGAGACUUCGUCAAUAAACAAAAUACUCCAAAAUUAAUAAAAGAAAAUUAAAUGAAAGAAGCGUAUACACUAUAUAAUAAUUACAGUAAAAGCUCCAGGGAAAUCUCUUAGUUAUACUUAUUAUCCCUGGAUGCUUGCACUAUUCCGAACCUUGGACUUCUCAGUAAGAAACAUUUCAAUCUUCAGCAGUGCCUGGAAAAACACAAAAAGGAAGAGUUCACACUGGAACACAUACAUCCAAGGAAUUCGAAAUAGCUAGUGUUCAUAAGGUUUGAACAUCUUAAAGGAACUGAAUUUUCCGGUAAAGAACGUGAAAAUAAGAUCAGAAUGAUAUACCUCGAUGGCAAUAGUGGUCGGUGAGAGCGCAGAGACGUCCUCAUGACCCUGUUUCGCUGCAAUAUCUGCAUCGAUAGAGGACAGUUUUGUCAAUGCAUCAAGCAGUCUGAAGAAAGGCAAAGGGGUUAAUAUAAAGAGAGAUUUGAACUGCAGAUCCAAACGGCCUUCGUUGUAUGUGAUACACUUGUUCGCAAGCUUUUCUAAGUUUUCAGCACAAGCUUUAAACAAAAAAGAAAUAAGCGAAAAUAAAAGAAAAGCAUGCAUUGAGAUUACCAUCAGCACAAUAUUGGACUUAAAAUAAAAGGAUCCGAGGUGAAGACUAGUAGAGAAAGGUUCCUGAACGAUAGGACAUUUUAAACUCGAUCUCCCACUUUUAUCUCUUUUAUUGGCAUCCCUAACUUUUGUUCAUUUCGGUUUGACUUACUUCCGUUAGUUGAAUCGUGGAUUCUGGUAAAGUUAACGGCUCGGUUAACCAAAUCCCAGAUUAACUGCUGAAAAUAGCUAAAUUUGGAAAGGAGCAAAAGUUGAGCGUUAUGAUCUUUGUUGAGCAGGUCUCUGUACAAUUGUAACUAAAAGUAACGACGAUGGCAUUCAAGGCCCACUGAAACAUACCUUCAAGGGAAACCCUUGCAUCGGCAUUGGCAUAGGCGUCACCCCUUUGUUCUGCAAGCGCAGUGAGCCUUGCAAAAGCCUGAAACAGAGUGAUGACAUGUUACAUAUUUUUGUGAAACUACUAAUGACAUGCAGAGCAACAGUUCUUAUGAGCGAUCAGCUAGGAAGAGAGGAUAACUUUUAAUCAGCAAUAGCAUAGACAAGUAGGUAAAGGGAAAAAUCGCAAGCAAAAUUGCUCAGUAUGUUGACACUAUUGGCUGUUAUGAUCAUAUAUUAGUGCUUGCAAGUCACAUUGGUGAUGUAUGAUACCAAGUGGUCCGAUAUUUGUAAAAGAGGAAGUUGAGAGAGAGUUUUGAGAGGGAAGUAGUGACUUACCUUUGUGUAAGGGUCACCAGAUUCUUCAUGCAAAAGAGGACGGGAAGCAGUCCCCACCGCAGCAAUCCGCCUUGCCAGAGCUUCUAAAGGGACAUCUAACCAGACCGUAAUUCCCUGUUUCAUAUACCUCCUAAUAAUUCAAAAUACUAGAGUUAGGUUAUAUACUCUGUAAAACAAAAACCAAAUAAAAUUAUACUUUUAUCAAUUCCUAACCAGUUGAUUGGUCGAAUCACGGCGCCGCCUCCAGUUGCAACAACUAACCGGCGCAUUGUUGAUAGCUCCCUCAGCACUUCGCUCUUGGGACAUGAAAAAUGAAAGAUAGAAAAUUAGAAAGGAAAAGAAAUUGCUUUCUUACUGAAGAAAGCAACCUCAUGAAGGAAAAGAAAUUGCUCAUAAAACAACUGGGGAGUUUAUUAUGAAAGGCCACAAGGUAAAAAAUUAA
rnacentral:lncRNA from 1 species